rnacentral:rRNA from 1 species
GAUGAACGCUAGCGGCAGGCCUAAUACAUGCAAGUCGGACGGGAUUCACCAGCUUGCUGGUGAUGAGAGUGGCGCACGGGUGCGUAACGCGUGAGCAACCUGCCCAUAUCAGGGGGAUAGCCCGGAGAAAUUCGGAGUAAGACCGCAUAAUACAGAUUGAAUGCAUGGAUAAACGGUCAAAUAUUUAUAGGAUAUGGAUGGGCUCGCGUGACAUUAGAUAGUUGGUAGGGUAACGGGUUACCAAGGCGACGAUGUCGAGGGGCGCUGAGAGGAGAAUCCCCCACACUGGUACUGGGACACGGACCAGACUCCUACGGGAGGCAGCAGUAAGGAAUAUGGGUCAAUGGGCGCAAGCCUGAACCAGCCAUGCCGCGUGCAGGAUGACUGCCCUACGGGUUGUAAACUGCUUUUAUACGGGAAUAACCCUCUUUAUGUAGAGAGAGCUGAAUGUACCGUAAGAAUAAGGAUCGGCUAACUCCGUGCCAGCAGCCGCCGUAA